AAACUAUUUGUAAAUUUUUGAUAAGUUAAUUUGGUUGUAAUGUCUUCUUCAAGAACUCAAAUUUUAUUUUUCUAAACCACCUACCGUACGAUGUGAUACCAUGAAUGUCACGAUAUAUUUGUUUGUUUGUCAUGUGUUUAAUGAUAAAUGAAGAACAUAGAAUUGAAUUUUUUACUUUUUAAGGGAACAUGUUAUUGCUUAAAAACUAACUAUGCUUAUCAUUUCCAACCAAUAUAAUUAGGUAUGGAUUUUAUUCCCUAAACCAUAGCCUUAGAUGUCUAGUUUUGAUGGGAGUAGUAGAGUCCCAAUUGAAAUCAAUGUUGCAAAGGUUGAAGUGUUUCGAAAUCU
rnacentral:lncRNA from 1 species